rnacentral:tRNA from 4 species
GCCACCGGCUUGGCGGGCUUGCCGGCCGCCUUCGAGGCGGCCGCCUUCGCGGGCCUGCCGGCCGGCUCGGCCUCCGGCUCGGCCGCG